GAUGAACGCUGGCGGCGUGCCUAAUACAUGCAAGUCGAGCGAACAGAUAAGGAGCUUGCUCCUAUGAAGUUAGCGGCGGACGGGUGAGUAACACGUGGGUAACCUACCUAUAAGACUGGGAUAACUUCGGGAAACCGGAGCUAAUACCGGAUAACAUUUAGAACCGCAUGGUUCUAAAGUGAAAGAUGGUUUUGCUAUCACUUAUAGAUGGACCCGCGCCGUAUUAGCUAGUUGGUAAGGUAACGGCUUACCAAGGCGACGAUACGUAGCCGACCUGGGAGGUGUGUCGGCCAAACUGGAACUGAGACACGGUCCAGACUCCUACGGGAGGCAGCAGUAGGGAAUCUUCCGCAAUGGGCGAAAGCCUGACGGAGCAACGCCGCGUGAGUGAUGAAGGGUUUCGGCUCGUAAAACUCUGUUAUUAGGGAAGAACAAAUGUGUAAGUAACUGUGCACAUCUUGACGGUACCUAAUCAGAAAGCCACGGCUAACUACGUGCCAGCCGCCGGCCGUAA
rnacentral:rRNA from 1 species